GGUGCCCCAGCACAGCCCCAGCACACCAUGGUAGCUACUGGUCCUGCUGGAUUUGGAUGCCCUGGCCAUGUUCCCAGGGCUGGAUCAGGAAAUACAUCAUUGCAAUGUUUGAGGCUAGGAGAAGCUGCAUGGACUGGAACUGCCCUCCUGGGCCUGAGGGUCAUAGAACCAUUGAACACUUAGGGUUGGAAAAGCCCUUAAGAUCAUCCAGUUCCAACCCCCUGCCAUGCAGGACAGGGAUACCAUGCACCAUGUCACCCAAGACUCUGUCCAACCUGGCCUUGAACAGUGACAGGGAUGGAGCAUCUCCUGCAGACACUGACACCAGCAAUAUGAAGGUCUCAUUUAGCUGGUUUCUUUUCCUCACCUGAAAGGGAUUUGGGCUCAGAGAGGACAGAAAAGCUGUGAAAUGUGCCCCAGCAAUGGAGAAAACGCAACCUGUGGAGAAAAGCCAUGUGAGCUGAACUCGUGAAUACAGCGGAACAGCAGAAGUCUUCCUUGAGAACAACCACAGUCAUGCGGGCUGCUACACAGCUUCUCCAUCGGAAAAGGAAACAUGCAAAAUCAGAAUUGAAGGAAGAGAAA